AAUAGAAUUUCUGGGUCAUAUGGUAAUUCCCUGUUUCACGUUAAUGUAACAGCCAAACUGUUUUCCACAGAAGCUGCACCAUUUUACAUUUCCUUUAGCAAU
rnacentral:pre_miRNA from 1 species